UGGGGAAUUUUGGACAAUGGGCGAAAGCACUGCAUCCAAGCAAUGCCGCGUGUGUGAAGAAGGCCUUCGGGUUGUAAAGCACUUUUGUCCGGAAAGAAAUCCUUGGCUCUAAUACAGUCGGGGGAUGACGGUACCGGAAGAAUAAGCACCGGCUAACUACGUGCCAGCAGCCGCGGUAAUACGUAGGGUGCAAGCGUUAAUCGGAAUUACUGGGCGUAAAGCGUGCGCAGGCGGUUUGCUAAGACCGAUGUGAAAUCCCCGGGCUCAACCUGGGAACUGCAUUGGCGACUGGCAGGCUAGAGUAUGGCAGAGGGGGGUAGAAUUCCACGUGUAGCAGUGAAAUGCGUAGAGAUGUGGAGGAAUACCGAUGGCGAAGGCAGCCCCCUGGGCCAAUACUGACGCUCAUGCACGAAAGCGUGGGGAGCAAACAGGAUUCAGAUACCCUGGUAGUCCACGCCCUAAACGAUGUCAACUAGUUGUUGGGGAUUCAUUUCCUUAGUAACGUAGCUAACGCGUGAAGUUGACCGCCUGGGGAGUACGGUCGCAA
rnacentral:rRNA from 1 species